GUUUGAUUAUGGCUCAGGUCAGACUUCUUUGGCGGGAUGUUUACACAUGGAUCGAACGGCAGCACGGACUUCGGUCGUGGCAGGUGGCGAACAGGUGAUAAUGUCAGAACGAUGCCCUAGUAGCGGGGGAUAACUACGCGAAAGCGUAACUAAUACCGCAUACGCCCGUCCCGAAGGGAAAGCGAAGCCUUCGGGCCUCGCAUAGUAGAGUAGCCGAUAUCGGAUUAGCUAGUUGGUGGGGUAACGGCUCACCAAGGCGACGAUCCGUAGCUGGUUGAGAGGACGACCAGCCACACACUGGGACUGAGACACGGCCCAGACUCUACGGGAGGCAGCAGUGGGGAAUUUUGGACAAUGAGAGGAAACCUGAUCAGCCAUCCCGCGUCGUCACCGUGAAGGCCUUCGGGAUUAUGCUUUCGCACAGCAGGAAAGAAACGGCACGGGAUAAUACCCCGUGCCUGACGAACACCUGCCAGAACCAAGCACAACAACGUGGUGCUGGCAGCACUGCGGUAACGUAAGUGCAAGCGUUAAUCGGAAUUACUGGGCGUAAAGCGUGCGCAGGCGGUUCGGAAAGAAAGACUAACAAAUCUGAAACUUAACUUUGGAACUGCAUUUUAACUACCGAGCUAGAGUGUGUCAGAGGAGGUGGAAUUCCGCGUGUAGCAGUGAAAUGCGUAGAUAUGCGGAGGAACACCCGAUAUGAAAGCAGCCUCCUAGGAUAACACUGACGCUCUUACAGCGAACAAACAGGAUUAGAUACCCUGGUAGUCCACGCCUAAACGAUGUCAGCUGGCUGUUUGGGGCCUUGGACAACCCGGUAGUACCAGCUAACAUAAUAGAGAUUGACCAUAUAGAAAUCGGUCGCAAGAUUAAAACUCAAAGAAAUUGACGAGACCCGCACAAGCGGUGGAUGAUGUGGAUUAAUUCGAUGCAACGCGAAAAGCCUUACCUACCCUUGACAUGUCUGGGAAUCCAGAGAUUUGGGAGUGCUCGCAGAGAACCGGAACACAGGUGCUGCAUGGCUGUCGUCAGCUCGUGUCGUGAGAUGUUGGGUUAAGUCCGCAACGAGCGCAACACUUGUCAUUAGUUGCUACGAAGGGCACUCUAAUGAGACUGCCAGUGACAAACCGGAGGAAGGUGAGAUGACAUCAAGUCCUCAUGGCCCAUAUGGGUAGGGCUUUCACACGUCACUGCAAUGGUCCGGGACAGAGAGAUACCAUCGCCCCGCGAGGGGAGCCAAUCCCAGAAACCCGAUGUGGUCCGGAUCACGGAUCUGCAACUCGACUGCGUGAAGUAGAAUCGCUAGUAAUGCGGAUCAACCUUCUCGCUGAUGAUACGUUCGGUCUUCCACACCGCCCGUCACACCAUGGGAGUGGGUUUACCAGAAGUAGUUAAGCCUAACUAUGGAGGGCGGUUACGGUAAGUUCAUGACUGGGGUAGAAGUCCUUUAACAAAGUAA
rnacentral:rRNA from 1 species